CGGACGGGUGAGUAACGCGUGGGUAACCUGCCUUGUACUGGGGGACAACAGUUAGAAAUGACUGCUAAUACCGCAUAAGCGCACAGUAUCGCAUGAUACAGUGUGAAAAACUCCGGUGGUACAAGAUGGACCCGCGUCUGAUUAGCUAGUUGGUAAGGUAACGGCUUACCAAGGCGACGAUCAGUAGCCGACCUGAGAGGGUGACCGGCCACAUUGGGACUGAGACACGGCCCAGACUCCUACGGGAGGCAGCAUG
rnacentral:rRNA from 1 species